rnacentral:rRNA from 1 species
UUUAAUGUUUGAUGUUCUAACGUGGAUCCGUAAUCCGGGUUGCGGACAGUGUCUGGUGGGUAGUUUGACUGGGGCGGUCUCCUCCUAAAGAGUAACGGAGGAGCACGAAGGUUGGCUAAUCCUGGUCGGACAUCAGGAGGUUAGUGCAAUGGCAUAAGCCAGCUUGACUGCGAGCGUGACGGCGCGAGCAGGUGCGAAAGCAGGUCAUAGUGAUCCGGUGGUUCUGAAUGGAAGGGCCAUCGCUCAACGGAUAAAAGGUACUCCGGGGAUAACAGGCUGAUACCGCCCAAGAGUUCAUAUCGACGGCGGUGUUUGGCACCUCGAUGUCGGCUCAUCACAUCCUGGGGCUGAAGUAGGUCCCAAGGGUAUGGCUGUUCGCCAUUUAAAGUGGUACGCGAGCUGGGUUUAGAACGUCGUGAGACAGUUCGGUCCCUAUCUGCCGUGGGCGCUGGAGAACUGAGGGGGGCUGCUCCUAGUACGAGAGGACCGGAGUGGACGCAUCACUGGUGUUCGGGUUGUCAUGCCAAUGGCACUGCCCGGUAGCUAAAUGCGGAAGAGAUAAGUGCUGAAAGCAUCUAAGCACGAAACUUGCCCCGAGAUGAGUUCUCCCUGAGACUUAGAGUCUCCUGAAGGAACGUUGAAGACGACGACGUUGAUAGGCCGGGUGUGUAAGCGCAGCGAUGCGUUGAGCUAACCGGUACUAAUGAACCGUGAGGCUUAACCUU